UCCAGACUCCUACGGGAGGCAGCAGUAGGGAAUCUUUCACAAUGGGCGAAAGCCUGAUGGAGCAACGCCGCGUGCAGGAUGAAGGCCUUCGGGUUGUAAACUGCUUUUAUAAGCGAGAAAUAUGAUGGUAACUUAUGAAUAAGGAUCGGCUAACUACGUGCCAGCAGCCGCGGUCAUACGGAGGAUGCGAGCGUUAUCCGGAUUUAUUGGGUUUAAAGGGUGCGUAGGCGGAAUGCCAAGUCAGCGGUAAAAAUGCGGUGCUCAACGCCGUCGAGCCGUUGAAACUGGCGUUCUUGAGUGGGCGAGAAGUAUGCGGAAUGCGUGGUGUAGCGGUGAAAUGCAUAGAUAUCACGCAGAACUCCGAUUGCGAAGGCAGCAUACCGGCGCCCAACUGACGCUGAAGCACGAAAGCGUGGGUAUCGAACAGGAUUAGAUACCCCCGUAGU
rnacentral:rRNA from 1 species